rnacentral:rRNA from 1 species
CCUACGGGCGGCAGCAGUGGGGAAUAUUGGACAAUGGGGGGAACCCUGAUCCAGCCAUGCCGCGUGUGUGAAGAAGGCCCUCGGGUUGUAAAGCACUUUCAGUGAGGAAGAACGCCUGGUGGUUAAUACCCAUCAGGAAAGACAUCACUCACAGAAGAAGCACCGGCUAACUCCGUGCCAGCAGCCGCGGUAAUACGGAGGGUGCGAGCGUUAAUCGGAAUUACUGGGCGUAAAGCGCGCGUAGGUGGCUUGAUAAGCCGGUUGUGAAAGCCCCGGGCUCAACCUGGGAACGGCAUCCGGAACUGUCAAGCUAGAGUGCAGGAGAGGGAGGUAGAAUUCCCGGUGUAGCGGUGAAAUGCGUAGAGAUCGGGAGGAAUACCAGUGGCGAAGGCGGCCUUCUGGACUGACACUGACACUGAGGUGCGAAAGCGUGGGUAGCAAACAGGAUUAGAUACCCUGGUAGUC